rnacentral:tRNA from 1 species
GGAGAGUUGGCAGAGUGGUCGAAUGCGGUGGUCUCGAAAACCAUUUUCCGAUGUGAAUUGGAACAAGGGUUCGAAUCCCUUACUCUCCG